GGGGCGUUAGCUCAGUUGGUCAGAGCAGGGGACUCAUAAUCCCUGGGUCAUCGGUUCAAGUCCGAUACGCCCUA
rnacentral:tRNA from 1 species